rnacentral:misc_RNA from 1 species
AUUAUUUAAAAGUUAAUUUCUGGGUUUUUGGCUGGAGUUAAUUUCUGUUUGUUUGAUCUAUGUUGUGACUGUUAUUUGAAGGUUUCCUUGUUUUAAAUUGAUGGAUGAUACUAGAAUCAAGCAUUCUGAAUUUUUAUUUUUGCUGCCCUGUUAAAAAAUUUAGUUAUUUUGGUUGGUUCUAACUUGCCGUAUGGCGUAUGCGUGCUUAGAAAUCUGGGAGAAAGGAGCAGAAAACAAAAUGUAUUGUAGUUUAAAAUUUUCCCAGCCGAUUAAAAAUCUAAAAAUUGAGAAAUUUAAGUUCUUUUCUUUCAUUCCAUUUUUUAACAAGCAAAAGGGCUGCUUUAUCUUUCUCUGAUUAAUUACUCGAUCGAGUUAAUUUCGGUUGGUAAACACUGACCCACAUUUUGCUUUUAAGUUGAGAAGUCCUUUUA